UACGUAGGGAGCAAGCGUUGUCCGGAAUCAUUGGGCGUAAAGCGCGCGUAGGCGGCCCUGUAAGUCCGUUGUGAAAGUCAAAGGCUCAACCUUUGAAAGCCGAUGGAUACUGCAGGGCUAGAGUCCGGAAGAGGCGAGUGGAAUUCCUGGUGUAGCGGUGGAAUGCGCAGAUAUCAGGAAGAACACCUAUGGCGAAAGCAGCUCUCUGGGACGGUACUGACGCUGAGACGCGAAAGCGUGGGGAGCGAACAGG
rnacentral:rRNA from 1 species